GAUGAACGCUAGCGGCAGGCUUAACACAUGCAAGUCGAGGGGUAUAGUUCUUCGGAACUAGAGACCGGCGCACGGGUGCGUAACGCGUAUGCAAUCUACCUUUCACAGAGGGAUAGCCCAGAGAAAUUUGGAUUAAUACCUCAUAGUAUUAUAGAAUGGCAUCAUUUUAUAAUUAAAGUCACAACGGUGAAAGAUGAGCAUGCGUCCCAUUAGCUAGAUGGAAGGUAACGGCUUACCAUGGCUACGAUGGGGUAGGGGUCCUGAGAGGGAGACUCCCCCACACUGGUACUGAGACACGGACCAGACUCCUACGGGAGGCAGCAGUGAGGAAUAUUGGACAAUGGGCGCAAGCCUGAUCCAGCCAUGCCGCGUGCGAGGAUGACGGUCCUAUGGAUUGUAAACUGUCUUUUGUACGAGAAGAAACACUACUUCGUGAAGUAG
rnacentral:rRNA from 1 species